rnacentral:rRNA from 1 species
GACGUAGGGCGCGAGCGUUGUCCGGAUUUAUUGGGCGUAAAGAGCUCGUAGGCGGCUUGUUGCGUCGACUGUGAAAACCCGCGGCUUAACUGCGGGCUUGCAGUUGAUACGGGCAGGCUAGAGUUCGGUAGGGGAGACUGGAAUUCCUGGUGGUAGCGGUGAAAUGCGCAGAUAUCAGGAGGAACACCGGUGGCGAAGGCGGGUCUCUGGGCCGAC